GCGCUAUUGGAGCGGCCGAUGUCGGAUUAGCUAGUUGGUGGGGUAAAGGCCUACCAAGGCGACGAUCCGUAGCUGGUUUGAGAGGACGACCAGCCACACUGGGACUGAGACACGGCCCAG
rnacentral:rRNA from 1 species